rnacentral:rRNA from 1 species
CAAGUCGAACGGCAGCACGGGUGCUUGCACCUGGUGGCGAGUGGCGAACUGGUGAGUAAUAUAUCCGAACGUGCCCUAGAGUGGGGGAUAACGUAGCGAAAGUUACGCUAAUACCGCAUACGAUCUACGGAUGAAAGUGGGGGAUCGCAAGACCUCAUGCUCAUGGAGCGGCCGAUAUCUGAUUAGCUAGUUGGUGGGGUAAAAGCCUACCAAGGCUACGAUCAGUAGCUGGUCUGAGAGGACGACCAGCCACACUGGGACUGAGACACGGCCCAGACUCCUACGGGAGGCAGCAGUGGGGAAUUUUGGACAAUGGGGGCAACCCUGAUCCAGCAAUGCCGCGUGUGUGAAGAAGGCCUUCGGGUUGUAAAGCACUUUUGUCAGGAACGAAACGGUGGAGGCUAAUACCUUCUGCUAAUGACGGUACCUGAAGAAUAAGCACCGGCUAACUACGUGCCAGCAGCCGCGGUAAUACGUAGGGUGCAAGCGUUAAUCGGAAUUACUGGGCGUAAAGCGUGCGCAGGCGGUUGUGCAAGACAGAUGUGAAAUCCCCGGGCUCAACCUGGGAAUUGCAUUUGUGACUGCACGGCUAGAGUGUGUCAGAGGGGGGUAGAAUUCCACGUGUAGCAGUGAAAUGCGUAGAUAUGUGGAGGAAUACCGAUGGCGAAGGCAGCCCCCUGGGAUAACACUGACGCUCAUGCACGAAAGCGUGGGGAGCAAACAGGAUUAGAUACCCUGGUAGUCCACGCCCUAAACGAUGUCUACUAGUUGUCGGGUCUUAAUUGACUUGGUAACGCAGCUAACGCGUGAAGUAGACCGCCUGGGGAGUACGGUCGCAAGAUUAAAACUCAAAGGAAUUGACGGGGACCCGCCCAAGCGGUGGAUGAUGUGGAUUAAUUCGAUGC